AAAAAAAUAUGUUUGACCAGUAAUUUCCAGCACGAUUUUAUUUUUUCCCAAAAUUCUCGCAAAAAAUGAUUUCUUUUGAAUCACAUGGGAAGUUAACGGCCUUUAAUCAUUAAAGCUUUCGCUAGAGAGAUCUAAAUUUUUUGUAUUUAAGCAACGGUAGCGCUAUUAAAGUUUGCAAUUUGGAGCAACGAAUUUCUUAGAAUUGAAUCGUUUGUUCUGGAGUAUUCAAACAAUACACAGAGCUCUGAAUUUCUGGGGAAAGAUGUUGGAAGGCAGAGCACUUGUUGUGGAAACAGAUAUGUCACAGAAAAUGCAAGAUUAUGCCAUGUUCUGUGCCUGCGAGGCUCUCGAUUUGCACGAAGUUACAGAAUACGAAGCCAUUGCUCGUUUCAUUAAGAGGUAAUUUGAUGAAGCGUAUGGAAUUGCGUGGCAAUGCAUAGUUGGGUUCAGUUUUGGAUCAUCUAUUAGCCAUGUGAGUGGAACAUUUAUCUAUUUCCAAGUGGAAAAAUUGGCUUUUCUGCUCUUCAAAGAUGCACUUUUCAAGGAGAAGGAACAGGGUCAAAUGGGCUUUGCAGAUCUGGCAUAUAUGAAGCAGUGACAGACACCCAAAAGGAAAAAGGACAAGAAACAAAAAGUACAGCCCUGUGCUGUAAAAUAAUAGCUUGUAGCAGCAGGCAUCUGUACAUUACUUCCAUUGCUAAAGGGAGCAAAAGCUGGAAAAUUUUGUAAGCUUUUGGCCACUCAUGGCAUCUAGCCUUUUCUUGGGACCCCACCAUAUAUAGAUCAAGCCUUUGGGUGGCUGUAUGUAUUUGCACCCAAGAUUUCAUCAAGAGCAGGGUUUCCAACUGGAGAAUUUUUCAACUAAAUUGGAUAAACAUUCUAAUCCUGUUUGUAAUUUCUAUUGGUAGAAAUGUGUUGUGAAAAUUUCAAAAUAGUUAAGUUAAAAUUGUGGCUUUGAUUA